rfam:Candidatus Schekmanbacteria bacterium RBG_16_38_11 RBG_16_scaffold_87692, whole genome shotgun sequence.
UUAAAAGCCUUAGCCUGUAUUUUGUAACAUCCUGGAUAGUUAUAGGGAAGGUUGGUGAGAAUCCGACACUGCCCCGCAACUGUGAUGGGAACGAAAUCUGCGUGUUACCACUGUCUGGAAACGGUUUGAACUGUUUAAACGGUUUAAACAGCUUUCCGGAUGGGAAGGUGCAGAGAGUAGGUAUUUGCCCUGAGUCAGGAAACCUAUAACAGCCAGAUUUAUCCU